CACGUAGGGCGCGAGCGUUGUCCGGAAUUAUUGGGCGUAAAGAGCUCGUAGGCGGCCUGUUGCGUCCGCUGUGAAAGCCCGGGGCUUAACCCCGGGUCGGCAGUGGAUACGGGCAGGCUAGAGGUAGGUAGGGGAGAAUGGAAUUCCCGGUGUAGCGGUGAAAUGCGCAGAUAUCGGGAGGAACACCGGUGGCGAAGGCGCCAUUCUGGGAAAUUCCUGACACUGAGGCACGAAAGCGUGGGGAGCAAACAGG
rnacentral:rRNA from 1 species